rnacentral:tRNA from 1 species
GCCAGGGUGGCUGAGUUGGUUGGAGCAUGGUCCUGUACACUGAAGGGUUGCAGGUUCGAUUCCUGCUCAGGGCA